rnacentral:lncRNA from 1 species
UUUGAGUGAAUCUAUCAAAAUCCUCAACCUUCGACUAAAAGCUAAAGGCUAUCAACCCAUAGUUUAAAGCGGAAGAUUGAGUGACCCAUCGGACCAUGCUACACACACAUCGUGUCAUGAUCACACGUCCAAGUGGGUCGCCUAAAAUCCUAAUAGGGUGGAGUGGCGUGACAAGCCACUAAAAGAAAAAUAAAUGGGGGGUAAAAAUAAUUAAAGCGUAUGCACGUAUGCUAGUGCUCGUUUGGAUGGGAGGGAUCAAGAACCAACGUGAGGCUCUAAGGUGAAGUCCCCCUCCCAAAAUGCAAUGCAAAGCGCGGAAU